AAUUGAUUCAUUUUUAAGCAUGACACAUUUCUAAAGCCUAUCCUUGCUUUGAGAAAGUUAGAGUACAACAAAAAACCCAACAGAAAAACCAAAAAAACAUGCUCUUGUUAUAUUUUUGUAUUUUAGCUGCCUGCUAGAUUUCCCGUUGGUUUGGGAGUGUUUGUUGGUCACAGGUGGAGGUGUUUGGCUGAUGGUUUGAUCUAUAAGCUCCACCCUUUCUGUUAUUCUUAGCUGGCUGAUUUGAAAUACAGAGAAUCAAGACAGGAUUUAUAUAAAACACAAUGCCGCGAAGUGCUGGUCUACUUUGAGGGGUCUGUGAGGGGGAACGUUGAAGUGCCGCUGUCGGCGGUUCUAGCGUGAGAGCAGAUAAGGAGCGAGAUACAGUGUUGUGUCAGAUGGUGUAAGAAAGCCAGAGCCAUCUGAGUGUGGCUGAUCUGGAUUCAGCGCUGUCGUUUAGAUUUUCAUGCAUACAGCAGCGUGCAAAAGUCUCGGCGCAGAUGAUCUAACUGAUCUAAACAAACAAAAAAAAGACGAGCAAUGUAAAGAACUCUAAUCAUGCAAAUUAAUAAUCUACAUAUAAUACUCGGAAUCAGUGUAACAACAAUUUAAAAAAAAAUCUGGUUGACACUCAUUUUUACUCCAAGCGGCAUCAUUACUGCCACCCACUAAGCUGAAGUAGAUUUAUGUGGUCGCCUUUUUUUGCUGAGGAAAUUCAGCCCUAAUAAGAAAGAAAAUACACUUAUCAGGCUACAGCUUCACCUUUUGGUGUCAUUUUGAUAUAAGAGGAAAAUAAAAAGAUAAUCAUUCCAUCUUUAACUUUAUGCCUUUUCAUAUUAGUCCGCUAUACAGAGUAAAACUUGCCCAGACUUUUGCAUGCUGUUGUAUUCUGUCUUGAAGCAUGAAGCUGGUUGAAUUGUGUAUUUUCCUGAGAUGGUCAUCGCUGCCUCUGACCUUGCUUUGCUGAAUUGAAUCUCCAUUAGUCAUAUCCUUCCUGACUGGUCACAGACAUAAAGAAUAACUUUGGUUACCAGUUACGGUAAAGUCCUUUAAGGAGAUGCUACCUAUUCUGGGAAUGUUUCACAAUUCAAGCAGAAUUGAUUUAUUUGGAGGUCAUAUUAAAACGAGAAAAAUGUGAAUUUGACAAAGCUGAAUUCAGACUGGCGUGACGUGAGUCUGCUGAUGAUAAAGUUUGUGUUGUGUGACUGAAUAACAGCUAGUGCUACACACACACACACAUAUAGAUUUUUUUACUGUUUUCCGUUCCGUCUAAAAAGGGAGAAAUGGUGCUUUUUCUGAAACUAGAAUGACGAGUAUCCAUGAUUCAUAUUUGAUUCUUAGACUAGUUGUAGCCUAAUGACUUGCUCUCCCCUUACCGUCCAUAGCUAUUUUCUUAGUAGUGAUUCAGUUUUGUAAAUAAACUAUAAGUUAAUAUGUAUCUUCUAAAUGUUAAAUAUAUGUAUAGAAUACUCUAUCUUAUAUGUUUAAAAAAACCGAAAGCACUUUGUCCAAAAAAGAAAAAAAAAAACAAAAACAAAAACAAAAAGAAAAGAAAAGAAAAGAAAAGCAUUUUUUUCUCUUCCAUUUGCUGCUAAAUGGCCUGGCGUGAAUGCUGCAAGUGUACUUGACGACUACUUGCUUGGAUAGGUCUAUUGCCUGACUCUGCUAGGUCUGUAAACUAGCGAGGGGCAGGUGUACGACCUGACGAGGGUUAGAUCUACACAUUUCUGGAGCCAUGACAUGAUAUGAGCGCACAAGAGCGUACCAUUGCAUGGCUUUGGGAAGCCCAGUGUCUUGACAGGAUAGGUCUAUUUCCUGGUCAGGGACCGAGUGAAAGUAUGUUUGUGGUCUUAAAAGAAAACAAAAAUUAUUAAAAAAAAACCUUAAAAAAAAAAACAAGAGGGUUUUGAUUCCAGGGCCCCUACGUUGAUCUUGAUGCUGACCCCCUUGGCGUCACGAUUCAUUUGCCUUCAGUAGAGGUUUCCUAUGGAAAAACUGAUUCUGCUUUGGCUUCCUCUUCAGGGUGAUGUACAGUGUAGACACAUUUCUUCAGAGAGCUAUAUUGUUAUCAUUUGUAAACUGAUUUCUACUUGUGACUUAUUGAGGAGGAGGGUUUAGCCUGGGGCGGCCAGGAAGAGCUUGUUUGAAAGACGUUGCUCCCGGCCGCCUUGGGGGAAGUUACUAUAUCACUGUACUGUAUGGCAAGCCAAUUACAAAUGGAGACUCAAUCCGGACACUUAUUGCCUUCUUAAAUAACUUUUCACACACAAACAAAAAUAACAACAUGGCAGACAAAGUCGGCUGCCCAGAGUGGGGGGGGGGGCCUAACAUUGUUCUGCCGAUAUGGUAAACAACAACAACAACAAAUCAAUUCAGCCUGACUGGCUCAAAACAACCUUGACUAAAGUAGCAGACGUGAUGAAAUGUAUCUGAAAGAAAAUGACUCCAAAGGUUUGAACUGCUUUGGAAGCGAUGCUUUCGGGUAUAAUUUCAUCCAGGUCUGGCAAGGGGUCAGCAGUGGUUGAAGGGCCGCUGGUUGACGGCCGGCUGACAAGAGAAGCGUGCGUGUGUUUUGCUGUCGAUCACAAGGCUGGUUACAAGAAAGAGUCCUCACAGGUUUUUACAUUUAACAGAAUAGGCGCAAGCUGUGCAACUUUACAUUCAAACCAGGAGACUCUGUGGCAUUUUAACAGUUAAGGAAAUGAGUGAAAAUCCACGCCAGUAAAACUAUUCCUUUUAUUCUUUUCUGUUUUUUUUUAAAUUUUUAUUUCUGAUUACAUAAAUCCUAUACAGUCAAAUAUUAAGCUAAUAGAGUGUGUAACUUUGUGCUACUCUUGUCCAAUAAAAGCUACGUGGAUCCAUAAAGCUCUUCUUCAGCAAAUCAGGGUAAUAUCGUUCUUCUAUCUGACAUAUGUGAUGACAUAUAUAAAAAUCAAAAGAAAGUAUAUUUAUGUAUUCCAAUUAUUGUCGCCAUUCUUUACUCUGUACAAAAUAUUGUGCGUACUGUAUGUGUGUGAGAGAGAGUGUGUGUGCGUUAUGAAUCGUUAAUGUCAAUCACUAUGGUGCAAUGCUCUAUAAAAGUUAAAAGCAAAGGCCAACAGACUUGUUACAAAAAAACUCACAAAAUGUCACCGUUUUGUCCAAAUUUGGUCUUCUUGCAAACACAAUCUGCAGCAUCUUCCUCUCUGAAUGGUUUCCACUCUGAUUUCCAGUCGUGAUCCAGCUGGGGUUUGUCACAUGGUGCUGAUUACGUCUCGUUGUCCCGAGAAAUGCUACGAGGAUUUAUAAAAAAAACAAAAAAAAAAGGCACCCGUAUUCAGAUGUGUUUACAGAAAACACUCCGUGUGACCAUUUCAUUCAGUGUAACUAUGAUCAGAUCAGACUUCCGCCCAGAUCACUUUCACUGACUCACUGUCGGACCAAUCAGAGGAAGAGUUGUACUGUUUCUUGUUUAAAACAACAACACCGCUUCUGUGCUAUCGACUUGUAUGAUCGUUAUUGUUAAGCGUACCAAUACUUCUUUUGUAAAAGCCAGUCUCACGGAUUUGAUACCACCGCUCAAAGCCACAGAGGUUCUGUUAAAGAUCACGUGGAUGUAGCUUCAUUCAGAAAGAGCAGUUUUGAAUGAGUGCAAUUAAGUGCAUAGAAGUGCUCUUGAGAUGAUUUUUAAUAGGGUAAUGCUUUGUUUUACAGUGUGUAAUAAUUUCCAAAAAAAUGUCCAGUUUCCUCCAGUACAGCUUUGUGUAAUUUGGUGCUAAUUCAGGAGAAAGUAUUGAAAUCAUAAACUUCCAGUUAUAUUAUUGGAGUCCAGCAUGUCAGCUCAAUGUGACAUUUAUCUAUAGCCAGAAUUAUAAACAGUGAUUAUUUACUUGGACUAAUCAGUUUGUCUACAUGUAAACUCUUUUUUUUAGGUUUUGCUUCGUGCUCAUCGUCUCGGUUUAUUGGCUGCAGUAGAUGGCUGUCUGCUGCAGCCAACAACCGGUAGAGACCAAAACAGAGCUACAAGGACAGUCAUGUGACCAGUUUUUCUUUGUUUUUUAAAAAAAAAGAUCUUAUUGUUCCCCUUUAUUGGUACCAAAGUACAUAUGGUAAUUGUUUCCAGGAAGCUUCUUACCCUGUAAAAUAGACAUUACCAUAAAAAAUCAUUACAGGAAUAAAAAUGUUAAAUGACCUAACCUCGGACUAGCUGUGCUGUCAGGUCUAAGAGUCUGGCUUUGAGGGUUUUUUUGUGUUUUGUUUUUUGGCAUUUCAAAUGUAUAUCCUGUCUUGUUUGAACCCUUGUUGCUUGUACAAACAAAACAAAAACAUGUACUACUACCCUCCACAUUUUCCCCUAAAAUGAGAACGCAGCUGUCUCUGCAUGGCGAUUCCCUGCAUAGCGCUGAGAGAAUCAAGUCUGUGAGUUCCUCGCAGAUCGGGAAGAAUUCAGGAAAGGGUGUUCAUUGUCACAAAGUUGUUGCAUGGCUUUUUGGGCUCUCUGUACGCUCUGUUGUAUGAUUUCAUACUUGCUGCUAUUGAAUGAGCACAAAGAGACAUCAGAUUUUGGUUUAGGGUGUCCAUACCACAGUUACAGUAUAUUUAUACCACACAUACCUGUUGGGGUUUUUCUUUUGUUUGGUUGGGUUUUUUUUGUCCCCCCAAUCUUUCUUUUUUCCCUCCCUGUGGCAGUUAAAAGACCAACAGCAUUACUCACCUUGCACUUGGUUUGUACACUUAGAAGGAAAAAAAAUAUUUUGAAUAUGAUGCCUGCUGAACCAGGUGCCUUAAUCAGUUAUAUGAGAACACAAAUCUGCACCUUCUGUCAGUCUGGAGGGGGUUUCCCUACAGAAACCAGGGACUGGGUUUCCCAAAACCUAAACUUGAAGUUCAAUAAUGAAAUGAAAACCUCAUCUGAACCCUAAAUCAGUGCAUUUUAUACAAUAGUCAACCUAAGAGGCAGAUGAGAGCCGUUAGUCAUGUCUCGAUCGUAGAAUAGCCUUGCUGAAGAAGAGCAGAAAAGACAACCUGUAAAUUGAAUUGUUUUGGGAAACCUGGUUCUGUUUUGAACUCUUUCUCUGCCCACUAUGCCACGUUAUCGUGUAUUCUGCAUUGGCUGCUGCUGCUAUCACCGCUGGUGUGUCCGCGUAGAGAAGAGCAAACUUCCACUGUGUCUGAGACAGAGGGAGACUUGGGCCUGCUUUUUACCUAGACAAUUAAAAUGCAUUCUUCUUCUUCUAAGGUUUCGACACAGAGCACUCUGUUGCUACCUUUUGAGACCUUGUCGAGACAGGAAAAAAAAAAAAAAUCCCAAAUAAACGCGAACUUUCCAUUUCUUAACUUUGCUAUAAUGAAGUGCCAGACCCUCCUUGAAGUCAGUGUUGGCACUGAGUCGCAGGUUGCGAAUGAAGCGACAAACUGAGCAUGGAGGUACACUGUGGUGCUAAUCUGUCAGUGGCUGGGUGCUAACAUGGCUGUGUUAAAUAGCUGUAUUAGCCAUAUUAUUCCUUCUGUUGAUGACUCUGGUCAGUCUUGUGUUUCUGACUUCUGACCUGCUGUAUGCUGAUAUAGCGAGGUAUAUAAUUCUGCUGCUGCUGCUUUGCUGAUGAAUGGAGACUCUUUGUCAUCAGGAUCCAGAAAGAUCAUGAAUGUCGUAUCUUUUAAUGGCUGCUGUCCUGCUUGUGUGUUUCAAUCUUUUUUUUUUUAUUAUCAAUAUGGUUUGAUAUUUAUGCUCUGACUCUAUCAAAUGUUGCACUUUUUUUCCCUAAAUUAUAUUUUAUUGUCAUUUUCUCUGAUCCCAGUGUUCUUGCCAUUUCUUUAUUUAUUUGUUCGGUCCUUUAAUUUAACAAUGCAAGGAGACAGUGAUUGGAGCUAGACUUUAAAGCUUUCCACUAAAGCAGUCUUUACCACAAGUCAGAGACUUGUCAUGAGAUUCACAGAUCUUAAUCAAAGUCACAAUGAAACUAGAAACUGUUCAUACAAAAAUUAUAUAUAUUUAUUUUUUUGACAAAGAUCCAAUUAGUAUAGAAGAGAAUUGGGACCACUGGAAACAAUCUUCAAGUUUUGACUGGGGAAAAAAAGAAGAAGAAAAAAAUCAAAAUCAUGAGCAAAAAGUCUGGAAAAAAAACUGGGAAGUAUAUCUUAAUUUUUUCCCUCAACCUAUUCUGUAAAUAGCUUUUAUGUACACACCUGUAAUAGCAUCUAGAGAUGUAAAUGUCACUAACUAAUGCUCAGUUAGAUUUAAAUAAACUGAGCUCACCUAUCACAAAUUGGAAAAUAGACACUUUAACAUAACGAUUACAAACUUAAAAAAAGUCAAAUGUGAAUCCAACUAAAAUUAAGGAAUUGUCCUAUAUUAGUUAUUACUUACAAAUAUUUACUCUUUUUGUGCAAAUAGAGUUAUGAUUGGUGUGACUGAGCUUCAUGAGAUAUUCUCUGCUGACAUGUACCCAGACAUCCUCUUGCAUAAUAGUCUAAUAAUGACUCCCUCCAUUAAAGGAGCAUUGCAACCAUUUUUAAGUUGUAGAUGAUUUGUUUUCUUACUAUAACUUGGCUGAGAAGUUUGAUGUCACUGCAGCCAGCAGCCAGUUAGCACAAAUACUGGAAACAGGAGACAAAGUAGGGCAGUUCUGCCAGUACUUUAUAGUCACAAAUGCACGUUUGUUUUUUAGGUGAUAUAGAUAUAUAUGGGGACUCUCUUUUGGCCAGGCAACCAAAAGAGACUUCAGAUGUUUGCUGUGAUUAGAGAUGGAGACUGAAAAUGAAACUUUAAGCAGAUUUAAGACUGAAGGUGGUCUAAGGAGAUAAAAAUAAUUCAUUAUUUUCUAAGUAAACCGGUCCAAGUCAGACUACAGUUUCAUUGUGAGUUUGAAUUAUCGCUGUCUGUGGGGCCCAUGAAGCGGAAGUUUAAUAAGUCCUGAGAAAAGCUCGGUGGGUCACCAGACUGAACCUUGCCUUUAGGUGACUCUUUGGUCAUGACUCUGGGCUGAGGUUCAGGUGCUCCACCGCCACGGAGCUGAGGUCAGGAGUUGGCUUGUUUGCGGUCUCUAACUUUUGGUGGGGAAAAUUUAGUUUUAAGGAAGUAAAACUUUACCACUGCGCCAGAGAUGUUUUGCCCCUUCUAGGUGCUUUUUUAAUUUUAAUUUUUAUCAGAAGGGCUUUGGUUCGCAGUUGUCUUGUCAGGGAACCCCUGAGAUUAGCCAGGGGCCACUAAAGGCUGGUGGGCAGAGACCCCUCACCUUCCCCUUUGCAAUGAAUGAUGGGGAAGGGUUAAUCUCCUCUUCCGGCAGACUGAUUCAAGCAAACAACCACCCACACUUAAUAAUAAUAAUAAAAAAGAAAACCCCUCUUUCUAUUUCUACAUACGUCCAACUCAUCAUCCAAACACUGCAAUGAUUUACAUCUCCUUCCAGACUUGCCAAAAUGCAUGAAGCAAGAGACAUUUACCGAAAAAAGACGGCAUCUGUUUGGUUACUAUUCUCUCUUUAUAAAUUUUAAUAAUGACAGACAGACGGAGGAUUAUAAUAGGAAAUCCAUACAAGUCCAAACAUGUAGCGGAUGUGGAAGGUAUCGGCCAUACUGAGCUCCACAGCUACAUGCCAUUGUUACGAUGCUUCUGGUCUUGUAUGGUAUUUGACUCGAUCAACAGCAUGGGAUCUUUCUGUAGUUAGUCCUGUGUGUGUUCCUCUCCCCAGUCUCAGUAGGAGGGCUGUACUUCAUUGCUAAGUGCUCUAUAAUAGAUCUCUUGGUGAUUAUAAUUUCAUAAAGAAGCAAAACCUGCAGAAAAAGUGUAUCCUGCUGAAACUAACUUGAUCCUCUCUUUAGCAAUGACAUCUAUAUUUGUAGUUCACAUAUAUGCCUGUUCAAAUACAAUAUCUUGACAGUUGCUAUAUUUAUGUUGUGUAAUAAAUGUUGUGCUGGGUUUAUACUUUUGUUUUGACUAACUUUUUGUUUAACGUUGUAUUUUUAUUUUUUAUUUUUUCUCUUCUUGGAGGCACAGUGGGUGGCUUUAUGCACAGGCAUGGAAAAGUAAAAGACCUUUAUUUUAUUAUUAUUAUUUUUUGGUUUGUACUGUAACAGCCCGAUUCUCUUUCAGAGCUUCUGACAGUUUUUGUCUCUGGCUGCUCGACAUUCUGCAGACACCUGCCCUGAAUCUCUGUUGUGUAAUUGUGCCUCUCUCUUUAUUUUCUGUUUUUCUUCUUCUCCUUCUUCUUCUUCUUUUUUUUUUUUUAAUCGUUUUUCUCUGUUGUAUCAACCAGGAGUUGGUACCACAGCUCUGCUUGUAACCAUGUUUGUCUGAUUAUGUUUAUUGAUUUUAAUAUCAAAACAAUAAAACCAUUAGCACCCCAGUCUGAAUCUUGUUUAUUUAACUGACCGAGUGUGUGUGUGAGUUUUCCAACCUGAUUUUUAUAAAUGAUUUUUGAAUUUUUCGUCGCUUAAAAAUGUAUUUUAAGCAAAUGAGUUCAUAAAGAGUUCAACAAGAUAUGCAGGAGAGCAUUCCUGAGUACACAACAGAUCCAAUAUUACAGCAGCAGAAGACCACACCAAGACUACAAUCAGCAUGGGCUCACUAAAAUUGCAGCAUAAGUAUUUGGUGCAAUCAGCAUGAAAGCAUGGAUCCACCCUGCCUUAUAUCAACAGUGGCGGUGCUGUAAUGUUGUAGGGGAUACUUUCUUGGUACGCUAUGGGCCCCUUUGUGCAAACUGAGCAUCAUUUAAAUACUACAGCCCACCUGAGUAUUAUUGUGAGCAUGUCUAUCCCUUUACGAUAGCUGCUCAAAACUCAGAUCAUCUCAAACUGGUUUCUUGAACACGACAGUGAGUUCACUGUUCUCAAACCUGCAGCAACUGUGUGACGCUGUCAUGUCAGUAUGGACCCAAAUGUCUGAGGAAUGUUU
ensembl:lncRNA